CAGUCGCCGCGGUAAGACAGAGGAUGCAAGCGUUAUCCGGAAUGAUUGGGCGUAAAGGGCUCGCAGGCGGUUUCUUAAGUCUGAUGUGAAAGCCCCCGGCUCAACCGGGGAGGGUCAUUGGAAACUGGGAAACUUGAGUGCAGAAGAGGAGAGUGGAAUUCCACGUGUAGCGGUGAAAUGCGUAGAGAUGUGGAGGAACACCGAUGGCGAAGGCAGCCCCCUGGGCCAAUACUGACGCUCAUGCACGAAAGCGUGGGGAGCAAACAGGAUUAGAUACCCGUGUAGUCCCUGUCUCUUAUAC
rnacentral:rRNA from 1 species